GGGCGUGGCACUGCCCUUGCUCUCCGCACACUGCAGCUCAAAUUACAGCCUCCCUCACCAGGUGCUGACGCCCAGAGGCUCAGAAGUCACUGCACAACACCGGGCAGAAAUCCUCUUCGAAGCCAGCGUCUCCACGUCCGGGCCUGCACAGCAAGCUGUGGUGGAAGCACAGGAAGCCACACACGGAGAAGAUACACAGUCAAGAUACACAGGCGUGAUGGAAAUGUGUGUUGAGGCCGAGAGUCCCUGCCUGAGCACAUGAACGGAGACAAAGGGAAGCAGAGAUACUGUGCAAAGAGACUUUACUCCAUAUAAAGUCCUCAGCGUCUUUAUAUUCCAAACUCAUCAAAAUUAACCCCUUGUGAGAAUGUGACUGUCUGCCUUUCCCUGAUUUUCUUCCCCAUGCAAACCUAUAUACGCACAGUAGAGUCCCUACCGCCCUCUAGUGGCAGGUCACCUGAAAUCCUUAACCCUGCUGGCCACCUAGUUAUAAUAAGUGUUAUCCACACCUAGGGAAUUUGUAUACCAUUGGACGGAACGCUCCAAUACCUUCACUCCCUUGUCAGCAGCCACCCCAGUCUUGCCUUAGAUUGGACCUGGAGUAGUAACAAAACCUCCACAGGAAGCAGGAGACUCAGGUGGCAAGGAAAAUUCCCUGUACAGUCGUAGCAUUAAACACGUUCAGUACUGAAUGUCGUAUUCACUAGAUUCCCCGUAAUUUGUUCUCUAAUCCCAGUGGAUAAGAAUGCCUUGGGAAAAAAAAACUCAAAAGGAAAACUAAGGAGAAAAAUCUGACUUUGUGCAAGUUUCCACUGUCCCUUACACACGGGGCGAUAAUAAUGAAAGCCACCAUCUUUGCAGGGAAUUGAUUUUUAACAUAAAAGCACUUUGAUUAGAGAUGCACACUGAAUAUUGAAGAAGCUAACGCAGUACUAAACAGUCAUGGUGAACGUCUAUUUAAAAUUGUCUCUGGGACCUACUCCCUCUUCAACAAUAUGUU
rnacentral:lncRNA from 1 species